GUCUCUGUGGAUACAUCUGAUAAAAUUGGGAGAACACGGAAGAAUAGCAUGGCCCCUGCACAAGGAUGACAUGCACAAACCAAGAAAUGGUCCAAAGUUUU
rnacentral:snRNA from 1 species